rnacentral:misc_RNA from 1 species
ACCGAGCGUAAAGACGCUAUGUAACUCGUUAAUGUGACCUCACGAGAGAGUGACUUUCUGUCACGAUGAUGCUGCAGAGGAAAACUAUAUGGGGUGUGUCUAAGGACACGAGAUCCUCGGAUUCGUCGAGGAAAGCCUUCGUUCAGAAAGCUAGCUGAACAUGUACUGUGGAGAUGCUUCGAUAUCUGGUAAUCAUCUUACCCGAAGAAUAGAGUCUGCGUGUGGCGAGCCACGGGACAGAAACCGUUGAAAUGUUUACUGUCGAG